rnacentral:rRNA from 1 species
AUUGAACGCUGGCGGCAGGCCUAACACAUGCAAGUCGAGCGGAUGAUGGGAGCUUGCUCCUGGAUUCAGCGGCGGACGGGUGAGUAAUGCCUAGGAAUCUGCCUGGUAGUGGGGGACAACGUUUCGAAAGGAACGCUAAUACCGCAUACGUCCUACGGGAGAAAGCAGGGGACCUUCGGGCCUUGCGCUAUCAGAUGAGCCUAGGUCGGAUUAGCUUGUUGGUGAGGUAAUGGCUCACCAAGGCGACGAUCCGUAACUGGUCGGAGAGGAUGAUCAGUCACACUGGAACGGAGACACGGUCCAGACUCCUACGGGAGGCAGCAGUGGGGAAUAUUGGACAAGGGGCGAAAGCCUGAUCCAGCCAUGCCGCGUGUGUGAAGAAGGUCUUCGGAUUGUAAAGCACUUUAAGUUGGGAGGAAGGGUUGUAGAUUAAUACUCUGCAAUUUUGACGUUACCGACAGAAUAAGCACCGGCUAACUCUGUGCCAGCAGCCGCCGUAAGAC